CUUCUGAGAAGCAGAACCCAAGAUUCCUAGUUUCUCACACUGUGUGGGCUUCCUAUGCACUGAGGAACCUCCAGCUGGCUGGUACUUGAGUAGAAGGCAGACUGCAGACCCUGUUGGAGCAGCCACCCCAGAGAGACUCCACAGCAAAGGAGAGCAGGACAGAGGCAUGGCAGAAGGAGGACACUGUGGGAAAAGGGGCCUGAUGGAACUGAAGGGGUGGAGGAGGUACCAGUGAUAACCUGUCAUGAUCAGUUUUGUCCCGCAAUCAUCUGAUCUCGUAUCCUCGUCACUCCUUAUUCUGAUUGUGCCCAUUGGGCAAAGCAGACCGCAUCAUUUUACCCCAUGGAAACUGUGGGCCAGAAACUUGCCUCUGAGACCACACAAUUUAUCAGCGGAAAAGGACAAAACCCCCACUCCCACGUGCAUUUUUUUUUUUUUUCUGGAAGGACUGAAACCAGCAUAGCCAUGGCUACAAGCUUUCAUUCUCCACAACGACUACCUGAAAAUCAUCUGAAGCAAUCUGUAUGAAUGCCACACACUCUUAGGCUACAGUUGUCUAAAGUGUUCUUCAAUCCUACCUUUCACUGUUUGAGGUCUAGAAUUAGUUAUUUUUCUCAAUCCUAUGAGGCCUCAAAUUCUGGAAUCUACAUAUUACCUUUUAUUUCUGAUUGAAAACUGACUAUUACCUAAGGUGAUCUACUUCUUGCAGUAACGUGUUGAAAGUAACAAAUAGUAGCAAUAGUAACAGAUUCUAGAUCUUUUCAACCACUUCCCCCAGUGCUACAGGCUCAUAAGCUACCUUCCAAAUUACCGAAGCAUUUGUUUUAUCAAAUAUUUUUCUAUCGCAUAAUCUGGAUCACCAGCUUUCCAGUGUGUUCUGUCUACAGCUAAACCAACUACAACUGAACACCUAAACCAAAUCUACGAAGUUUAGGAUGUUCUUGAGGCAUCAUUUUGCUUCUGGUAUCAAUAUUUUUAAAUAGGUCAAUAAAGUAAUGUAAUGGCUCA
rnacentral:lncRNA from 1 species